rnacentral:rRNA from 1 species
CACGUAGGCACCAAGCGUUGUCCGGAUUUAUUGGGCGUAAAGAGCUCGUAGGCGGUUCAGUAAGUCGGGUGUGAAAACUCUGGGCUCAACCCAGAGAUGCCACCCGAUACUGCUGUGACUUGAGUACGGUAGGGGAGCAGGGAAUUCCUGGUGUAGCGGUGAAAUGCGCAGAUAUGCGGAGGAACACCGAUGGCGAAGGCAAUCCCCUGGGCCUGCACUGACGCUCAUGCACGAAAGCGUGGGGAGCAAACAGG